rnacentral:rRNA from 1 species
UACAGAGGUCCCGAGCGUUGUUCGGAUUCAUUGGGCGUAAAGGGUGCGUAGGUGGCGCUGUAAGUGGGGUGUGAAAUCCCGGGGCUUAACUCCGGAACUGCAUUCCAUACUGCGGUGCUUGAGGACUGGAGAGGAGACUGGAAUUUACGGUGUAGCAGUGAAAUGCGUAGAGAUCGUGAGGAACACCAGAGGCGAAGGCGGUUACCUGGACAGUUACUGACGCUCAGGCACGAAAGCAUGGGGAGCAAAAGGG